rnacentral:rRNA from 1 species
AGUCAAUAGAUACCCUGGUAGUCCACGCCGUAAACGAUGAGUACUAGGUGUAGGAGGUAUCGACUCCUUCUGUGCCGCAGUUAACACAAUAAGUACUCCGCCUGGGAAGUACGGUCGCAAGAUUAAAACUCAAAGGAAUUGACGGGGGCCCGCACAAGCGGCGGAGCAUGUGGUUUAAUUCGAAGCAACGCGAAGAACCUUACCUAGACUUGACAUCUCCUGAAUAGUGUAGAGAUACAUGAAGCCCUUCGGGCGAGGAAGACAGGUGGUGCAUGGUUGUCGUCAGCUCGUGUCGUGAGAUGUUGGGUUAAGUCCCGCAACGAGCGCAACCCUUAUUACUAGUUGCUACCAUUAAGUUGUAGCACUCUAGUGAGACUGCCCGGGUUAACCGGAGGAAGGCGGGAGUGACGUCAAAUCAUCAUG